rnacentral:rRNA from 1 species
CGAGUGCUUGCACUCAAUUGGAAAGAGGAGUGGCGGACGGGUGAGUAACACGUGGGUAACCUACCCAUCAGAGGGGGAUAACACUUGGAAACAGGUGCUAAUACCGCAUAACAGUUUAUGCCGCAUGGCAUAAGAGUGAAAGGCGCUUUCGGGUGUCGCUGAUGGAUGGACCCGCGGUGCAUUAGCUAGUUGGUGAGGUAACGGCUCACCAAGGCCACGAUGCAUAGCCGACCUGAGAGGGUGAUCGGCCACACUGGGACUGAGACACGGCCCAGACUCCUACGGGAGGCAGCAGUAGGGAAUCUUCGGCAAUGGACGAAAGUCUGACCGAGCAACGCCGCGUGAGUGAAGAAGGUUUUCGGAUCGUAAAACUCUGUUGUUAGAGAAGAACAAGGACGUUAGUAACUGAACGUCCCCUGACGGUAUCUAACCAGAAAGCCACGGCUAACUACGUGCCAGCAGCCGCGGUAAUACGUAGGUGGCAAGCGUUGUCCGGAUUUAUUGGGCGUAAAGCGAGCGCAGGCGGUUUCUUAAGUCUGAUGUGAAAGCCCCCG